GGUAGAAGCCGCUUGUCAUAACGCGACGAAUGCAACAAGUUGUCCAGAAUCUCCUUGUCCGACUUGCCCUCUUCGAAGCUGUAACACAACGUACUGUAGAUGCAUCCAGAAGAAACAUGGCGAGCUCAUGGUGCAUAGACACGCGCAAGAGUGACGAGAGUAAAAGCAAGUGUGAGGAUACAGAGGAAAGUGAAGAUGAUGGAGCUAGCGAGGGAAGUAAGAGACAGCGAAAGGAUGGACGAGAGGCGGCCGCCACCACCCGCACACCGCCCUAGCGCCACCCAACCCAUUCUAUGUCAUCUGAAACAAAAAAAUAACACAAUUGAUUGUGCGAAGAAUAAAGAAUGAGAAUGCCAAACGAUUUAUUCACUUUGUAACAAAUUUAAAAAAAAAAGAAGAAUUAAAUGUUCUCUGGUGAUUUCAUAAUCACAAAAUAUGUCUUCGUAAGUACAAUUUUGUUUAAUUAAAGAUUUAUUUAACUUUGAUAAUAGAGAAUAAAUAUUUAAGCACUCUCCUUAAUGCAUGAUAAUGUUCGCAUGCACAAUCGCUUUAUAUUUCAACUUAAGUAAAACUGCAUAAAAGGUACACACUUUCGAUUUUAACGCCACUUAAAUAUGUUAUAAAGGAGGUUCUUCUCAGUAAUUCUUCGCAAGAAAUAAGUUGGGGACGCUAUUGGUUUAGGAGAUAUAACAAAUUAAAGUUUCACAGUUUUAAUGCUUUUUCUCAGGUAUUAUAAAGUAAUAUUAGGAAAAGUG